rnacentral:rRNA from 1 species
UUACAUACACAUCCGCCAGGUUCUACGAGCUCAGCUUAAAACCCAAAGCACUUGGCGGUGUCUCAGACCCACCUAGAGGAGCCUGUUCUAGAACCGAUAACCCCCGUUAAACCUCACCACUCCUUGUUCCCCCCGCCUAUAUACCGCCGUCGUCAGCUUACCCUGUGAAGGCCUAACAGUAAGCAAAAUGGGCAUACCCAAAAACGUCAGGUCGAGGUGUAGCGCACGAAGUGGAAAGAAAUGGGCUACAUUUUCUGAACACAGAAUAUACGAACAGCACCCUGAAAACAAGUGCUCGAAGGUGGAUUUAGUAGUAAAAAGCAAAUAGAGAGUCCUUUUGAAUUAGGCUCUGAGACGCGCACAC